rnacentral:rRNA from 1 species
UACAGGGGGUGCAAACGUUGCUCGGAAUUAUUGGGCGUAAAGCGCACGUAGGCGGUUACUCAAGUCGGAUGUGAAAACCCUCGGCUUAACUGAGGAAGUGCACCCGAAACUGAGUAGCUAGAGUACUAAAGAGGAUCGCGGAAUUCCCGGUGUAGAGGUGAAAUUCGUAGAUAUCGGGAGGAACACCGGUGGCGAAGGCGGCGACCUAGGUAGAUACUGACGCUGAGACGCGAAAGCGUGGGGAGCAAACAGG